GAUGAACGCUAGCGGCAGGCUUAACACAUGCAAGUCGAGGGGCAGCGCGAUGUAGCAAUACAUUGGCGGCGACCGGCGCACGGGUGCGUAACACGUAUGGAACUUACCCUUUACUGGGAGAUAGCCCGGAGAAAUCCGGAUUAAUAUCCCAUAAUAAACGAAGUGGCAUCACUUUGUUUGAAAGCUCCGGCGGUAAAGGAUGGCCAUGCGCACGAUUAGCUAGUAGGUGAGGUAACGGCUCACCUAGGCUACGAUCGUUAGGGGGCCUGAGAGGGUUAUCCCCACCACUGUACGUGAGACACGGACCGACGACUCCUACCGGGAGGCGAGCAGUGA
rnacentral:rRNA from 1 species